rnacentral:rRNA from 1 species
GACGAACGCUGGCGGCGUGCUUAACACAUGCAAGUCGAACGGAAAGGCCCUGCUUUUGCGGGGUGCUCGAGUGGCGAACGGGUGAGUAUAACGCGUGUAACCUCCACUUAAAUUUGGGAUAAAUUCAGGAAACUGCGGCUAUUACAGGAUAGGAGAUCUUGCUCCAUGGUGGGGGUUGGAAAGUUUCGGCGGUUGGGGAUGGACUCGCGGCUUAUCAGCUUGUUUGUGGGGUAGUGGCUUACCAAGGUUUUGAAGGGUAGCCGGCCUGAGAGGCUGACCGGCCACAUGAGGACUGAGAUACGGCCCAGAAUGCUACGUGAGGCAGCAGUGGGGAAUAUUACACAGUGGGCGGAAGCCUGAUACAGCAACGCCGCGAGCGGGAUGAUGUCCUUCGGGUUGUAAACCGCUUUCGCCUGUGACGAAGCGGGAGUGACGGUAAUGGGUAAAGAAGCACCGGCUAACUACGUG